rnacentral:rRNA from 1 species
CCCUUAGAUGUCCUGGGCUGCAUGCGCGCUACACUGGAAGUUACGGAUUGAGAUACUACCUUGUCCGAAAUGGUCCGGGUAAUCACCUAAAAGCUUGUCAUAAUUGGAAUGGAUUAUUGUAACUAGUAAUCCUGAACGAGGAAUUCCUAGUAAGUCCCAGUCAACAGCUGGUACUGAUUACGUCCCUGCCCUUUGUACACACCGCCCGUCGCUACUACUGAUUGGACGUUUAAGCAAGAUUUUUAAACACUGACAGUGUGUAGUUCACGCUAUACUACAGUGAGAAGAAGAAGAUCGAGCUUACUUGUCUAGAGGAAGUAAAAGUCGUAACA